UACGGAGGGCUCAAGCGUUGUUCGGAUUCAUUGGGCGUAAAGGGCGCGUAGGCGGCGGGGUAAGUCUGGUGUGAAAUCUCGGAGCUCAACUCCGAAAUUGCACUGGAUACUGCUCUGCUAGAGGGCUGGAGAGGAGAUCGGAAUUCACGGUGUAGCAGUGAAAUGCGUAGAUAUCGUAAGGAAGACCAGUGGCGAAGGCGGGUCUCUGGACAGUUCCUGACGCUGAGGCACGAAGGCCAGGGGAGCAAACGGG
rnacentral:rRNA from 1 species